rnacentral:snRNA from 14 species
AAACUACCUAGAAGAGGAGAGACUAUGAUCACAGAGGUGGUUCUCCUAGGCAAGGCAUCAUAGUAGGCUGACCUCUGUAAUGUCCCCAAGCAAGGCACAUCCAUAGCAGUCUGACCUCUGCGAUAGCCAAAAAUGUGGGGAACUUGACUGCUUGGUUUGUCGUCAUGGCUUCCCAGUCUUCCAUAA